GAUGAACGCUGGCGGCGUGCCUAAUACAUGCAAGUCGAGCGAACAGAUAAGGAGCUUGCUCCUUUGACGUUAGCGGCGGACGGGUGAGUAACACGUGGGUAACCUACCUAUAAGACUGGGAUAACUUCGGGAAACCGGAGCUAAUACCGGAUAACAUUUGGAACCGCAUGGUUCUAAAGUGAAAGAUGGUUUUGCUAUCACUUAUAGAUGGACCCGCGCCGUAUUAGCUAGUUGGUAAGGUAACGGCUUACCAAGGCGACGAUACGUAGCCGACCUGAGAGGGUGAUCGGCCACACUGGAACUGAGACACGGUCCAGACUCCUACGGGAGGCAGCAGUAGGGAAUCUUCCGCAAUGGGCGAAAGCCUGACGGAGCAACGCCGCGUGAGUGAUGAAGGGUUUCGGCUCGUAAAACUCUGUUAUUAGGGAAGAACAAAUAUGUAAGUAACUGUGCACGUCUUGACGGUACCUAAUCAGAAAGCCACGGCUAACUACGUG
rnacentral:rRNA from 1 species